rnacentral:rRNA from 1 species
GCCCGCACAAGCGGUGGAGCAUGUGGUUUAAUUCGACAACGCGAAGAACCUUACCAGGGCUUGACAUACUACAAAUCUUUUCGAAACGAAAGAGUGCCUUCGGGAAUGUAGAUACAGGUGGUGCAUGGCUGUCGUCAGCUCGUGUCGUGAGAUGUUGGGUUAAGUCCCGUAACGAGCGCAACCCCUAUCCCUAGUUGCUAGCAGUUCGGCUGAGAACUCUAGGGAGACUGCCGGUGACAAACCGGAGGAAGGUGGGGAUGACGUCA